rnacentral:rRNA from 1 species
UAGGGAAUCUUCCGCAAUGGGCGAAAGCCUGACGGAGCAACGCCGCGUGAGUGAUGAAGGUCUUCGGAUCGUAAAACUCUGUUAUUAGGGAAGAACAAAUGUGUAAGUAACUAUGCACGUCUUGACGGUACCUAAUCAGAAAGCCACGGCUAACUACGUGCCAGCAGCCGCGGUAAUACGUAGGUGGCAAGCGUUAUCCGGAAUUAUUAGGCGUAAAGGGCGCGUAGGCGGUUUUUUAAGUCUGAUGUGAAAGCCCACGGCUCAACCGUGGAUGGUCAUUGGAAACUGGAAAACUUGAGUGCAGAAGAGGAACGUGGAAUUCCAUGUGUAGCGGUUAAAUGCGCAGAGAUAUGGAGGAACCCCAGUGGCGAAGGCGACUUUCUGGUCUGUAACUGACGCUGCUGUGCGAAAGCGUGGGGAUCAAACAGG